rnacentral:rRNA from 1 species
GGUUAAGCGACUAAGCGUACACGGUGGAUGCCCUGGCAGUCAGAGGCGAUGAAGGACGUGCUAAUCUGCGAUAAGCGUCGGUAAGGUGAUAUGAACCGUUAUAACCGGCGAUUUCCGAAUGGGGAAACCCAGUGUGAUUCGUCACACUAUCAUUAACUGAAUCCAUAGGUUAAUGAGGCGAACCGGGGGAACUGAAACAUCUAAGUACCCCGAGGAAAAGAAAUCAACCGAGAUUCCCCCAGUAGCGGCGAGCGAACGGGGAGCAGCCCAGAGCCUGAAUCAGUGUGUGUGUUAGUGGAAGCGUCUGGAAAGGCGCGCGAUACAGGGUGACAGCCCCGUACACAAAAAUGCACAUACUGUGAGCUCGAUGAGUAGGGCGGGACACGUGGUAUCCUGUCUGAAUAUGGGGGGACCAUCCUCCAAGGCUAAAUACUCCUGACUGACCGAUAGUGAACCAGUACCGUGAGGGAAAGGCGAAAAGAACCCCGGCGAGGGGAGUGAAAAAGAACCUGAAACCGUGUACGUACAAGCAGUGGGAGCCUCUUUAUGGGGUGACUGCGUACCUUUUGUAUAAUGGGUCAGCGACUUAUAUUCUGUAGCAAGGUUAACCGAAUAGGGGAGCCGAAGGGAAACCGAGUCUUAACUGGGCGUUAAGUUGCAGGGUAUAGACCCGAAACCCGGUGAUCUAGCCAUGGGCAGGUUGAAGGUUGGGUAACACUAACUGGAGGACCGAACCGACUAAUGUUGAAAAAUUAGCGGAUGACUUGUGGCUGGGGGUGAAAGGCCAAUCAAACCGGGAGAUAGCUGGUUCUCCCCGAAAGCUAUUUAGGUAGCGCCUCGUGAAUUCAUCUCCGGGGGUAGAGCACUGUUUCGGCAAGGGGGUCAUCCCGACUUACCAACCCGAUGCAAACUGCGAAUACCGGAGAAUGUUAUCACGGGAGACACACGGCGGGUGCUAACGUCCGUCGUGAAGAGGGAAACAACCCAGACCGCCAGCUAAGGUCCCAAAGUCAUGGUUAAGUGGGAAACGAUGUGGGAAGGCCCAGACAGCCAGGAUGUUGGCUUAGAAGCAGCCAUCAUUUAAAGAAAGCG